rfam:Schistosoma mattheei strain Denwood, Zambia genome assembly, scaffold: SMTD_scaffold0004772
GUCCAGCUGACCAGUCCCAAAUAGGACGAAACGCUCGCCCUGGAU